rnacentral:rRNA from 1 species
AGAGUUUGAUCCUGGCUCAGAACGAACGCUGGCGGCAGGCCUAACACAUGCAAGUCGAGCGCCCCGCAAGGGGAGCGGCGGACGGGUGAGUAACACGUGGGAAUUUUCCUCAAGGUACGGAACAACCCAGGGAAACUUGGGCUAAUACCGUAUGAUGCCGAGAGGCCAAAGAUUUAUCGCCUUGGGAUAAGCCCGCGUCA